CACGUAGGGGACGAGCGUUGUCCGGAUUCAUUGGGCGUAAAGCGCGCGUAGGCGGCUCGGAGAGUCGGUCGUGAAAUGCCGGGGCUCAACCCCGGGACUGCGUCCGAUACUUCCGGGCUGGAGGUAGGUAGGGGAGAUCGGAAUUCCUGGUGUAGCGGUGGAAUGCGCAGAUAUCAGGAGGAACACCGGUGGCGAAGGCGGGUCUCUGGGCAGUAACUGACGCUGAGGAGCGAAAGCGUGGGGAGCGAACAGG
rnacentral:rRNA from 1 species